rnacentral:misc_RNA from 1 species
GGCUUUGAGGCCAUACAGGUUGUCCAUGCUCUUCAGUGAGACCACUACCUUCUAAUUGUUCAGCUUCAACUUUGGUACCCUUUAGAAGGUCCUUGGCUUCGUUUAAGCAUUCCUUUUGUUUCUGAUCAUUCAAGUCGCGGCUAUGGGAGGAUUUUUCUUUACGUUCUUUGCUUUUAUGUUUCUUGUCCUUACUUCUCUCUUUCUUGUCCUUGCUCUUCU